UGUGAGUCAUCUGCUCAUGUCCUGACGAGU
rnacentral:piRNA from 1 species